rnacentral:rRNA from 1 species
AACGAACGCUGGCGGCAGGCUUAACACAUGCAAGUCGAACGCCCCGCAAGGGGAGUGGCAGACGGGUGAGUAACACGUGGGAACGUGCCUUUUGGUUCGGAACAACUCCGGGAAACUGGAGCUAAUACCGGAUAAGCCCUUCGGGGGAAAGAUUUAUCGCCAAAAGAUCGGCCCGCGUCUGAUUAGCUAGUUGGUGGGGUAAUGGCCCACCAAGGCGACGAUCAGUAGCUGGUCUGAGAGGAUGGCCAGCCACACUGGGACUGAGACACGGCCCAGACUCCUACGGGAGGCAGCAGUGGGGAAUAUUGGACAAUGGGCGCAAGCCUGAUCCAGCCAUGCCGCGUGAGUGAUGAAGGCCUUAGGGUUGUAAAGCUCUUUCGCCGAGGACGAUAAUGACGGUACCUGGAUAAGAAGCCCCGGCUAACUUCGUGCCAGCCGCCGCCGUAAAAC